GACGAACGCUGGCGGCGUGCUUAACACAUGCAAGUCGAACGGGCCUGUCUUCUUUUUUGGGGGUGGGUUGAGUGGCGAACGGGUGAGUAUCACGUGAGUAACCAGCCCUUCGGUCCUGGAUAACCGCUUGAAAGGGCGGCUAAUACGGGGUGGUCCGGUUGGUCCGCAUGGGCUGGUCGGGAUAGAUUCACUGUUUUUGGUGUUUCGGCGGGGGAUGGGCUCGCGGCCUAUCAGCUUGUUGGUGGGGUGAUGGCCUACCAAGGCGGUGACGGGUAGCCGGCCUGAGAGGGUGGGCGGCCACACUGGGACUGGGAUACGGCCCAGACUCCUGCGGGAGGCAGCAGUGGGGGGUAUUGCACAAUGGGCGGAAGCCUGAUGCAGCGACGUCGCGUGAGGGAUGGAGGCCUUCGGGUUGUGAACCUCUGUUUCCGGUGGUGAAGGCCCUGUCCGUGUGGUGGGGUUGACGGUAGCCGGGGAUGAAGCGCCGGCUAACUACGUG
rnacentral:rRNA from 1 species